UACGUAGGGGGCGAGCGUUGUCCGGAGUUACUGGGCGUAAAGCGCACGCAGGCGGUCUGCUAAGUUUGGAGUGACAGUUGGUGGCUUAACUGCCAAAGUGCUUCGAAAACUGACAGACUUGAGGGCUUCAGAGGGACACGGAAUUCCGGGUGGAGUGGUGAAAUGCGUAGAGAUCCGGAGGAACACCAAAGGCGAAGGCAGUGUCUUGGGGAGUACCUGACGCUCAGGUGCGAAAGCCAGGGGAGCGAACGGG
rnacentral:rRNA from 1 species